UAGCAUAUCAAUAAGCGGAGGAAAAGAACCAACCGGGAUUGCCCUAGUAACGGCGAGUGAAGCGGCAAGAGCUCAAAUUUGAAAGCUGGCUCCUUCGGGGUCCGCAUUGUAAUUUGCAGAGGAUGCUUCGGGAGCGGUCCCCAUCUAAGUGCCCUGGAACGGGCCGUCAUAGAGGGUGAGAAUCCCGUAUGGGAUGGGGUGCCCGCGCCCGUGUGAAGCUCCUUCGACGAGUCGAGUUGUUUGGGAAUGCAGCUCUAAUUGGGUGGUAAAUUUCAUCUAAAGCUAAAUAUUGGCCGGAGACCGAUAGCGCACAAGUAGAGUGAUCGAAAGAUGAAAAGCACUUUGAAAAGAGAGUUAAACAGCACGUGAAAUUGUUGAAAGGGAAGCGCUUGCGAUCAGACUCGCUCGCGGGGUUCAGCCGGCCUUCGGGCCGGUGUACUUCCCCGCGAGCGGGCCAGCGUCGGUUUGGGCGGCCGGUCAAAGGCCCCUGGAAUGUAACGCCUCUCGGGGCGUCUUAUAGCCAGGGGUGCCAUGCGGCCUGCCCGGACCGAGGAACGCGCUUCGGCUCGGACGCUGGCAUAAUGGUCGUAAGCGACCCGUCUUGAAACACGGACCAAGGAGUCUAACAUCUACGCGAGUGUUCGGGUGUCAAACCCGUGCGCGCAGUGAAAGCGAACGGAGGUGGGAACCCCUCGGGGUGCACCAUCGACCGAUCCUGAUGUCUUCGGAUGGAUUUGAGUAAGAGCGUAGCUGUUGGGACCCGAAAGAUGGUGAACUAUGCCUGAAUAGGGCGAAGCCAGAGGAAACUCUGGUGGAGGCUCGCAGCGGUUCUGACGUGCAAAUCCAUCGUCAAAUUUGGGUAUAGGGGCGAAAGACUAAUCGAACCAUCUAGUAGCUGGUUCCUGCCGAAGUU
rnacentral:rRNA from 1 species